rnacentral:rRNA from 1 species
CAAUGGACGGAAGUCUGAUGCAGCGACGCCGCGUGGAUGAAGAAGGCCCUCGGGUUGUAAAAUCCUUUACAGGGGGAAGAGGAAGGACGGUACCCCUGGAACAAGUGUCGGCUAACUACGUGCCAGCAGUCGCGGUAAGACGUAGGACACAAGCGUUAUCCGGAUUUACUGGGCGUAGAGCGUCUGCAUGCGGACAGGUAAGUUGGGCGUGAAAGCUCCGGGCCCAACCCGGAGAGGUCGUUCAAUACUGCGUGUCUAGAGGGUGUCAGAGGGGAGUGGAAUUUUCCGGAGUAGCGGUAGAAUGCGCAGAGAUCGGCAAGAACAACAAUGGCGAAGCAAGCUCCUUGGGGCAACCACAGACGAUAAGAGACGAAAGCUAGGGGAGCGAACAGGAUUAGAGACCACGGUAGUCACUAGCCCUAAACGAUGGAUGCUGGAUGUGGGGCACAUAGCGCUCCGUCGUCGAAGCGAACGCGUUAAGCAUCACGCCUGGGGACUACGGCCGCAAGGUUAAAACUCAAACGAAUGGACGGGACACCGCACAAGCAGCGGAGACGACGUGGUAUAAGUAGAUGCGACACGAAGAACAUCACACUGGGUUUGACAUAUAGGUGUUAGAGAAGCGAAAGCGGAGCGACCGUUCGGGGAGCUUAGACAGGUGCUGCAUGCCUGUCGUCAGCUCGUGCCGUGAGGUGUCGGGUUAAGUCCCGUCACGAGCGCAACCAUUGCCCUCCAGUUAUACGUGUCAGAGGGGACUGCCGUCGGUAAGCCGGAGGAAGGUGGGGAUGACGUCAAGUCAGCAUGGCCUUUAUAUCCAGGGCUACACACACGCUACAAUGGCCAGUACAAACGGGCAGCGAAGCCGCUGAGGUGGAGCGAAUCCCAGCAAAGCUGGUCGUAGUUCGGAUUGCAGUCUGCAACC